rnacentral:misc_RNA from 1 species
GAUGAAGAACGUAGCGAAAUGCGAUACGUAAUGUGAAUUGCAGAAUUCAGUGAAUCAUCGAAUCUUUGAACGCAUAUUGCGCUCUCUGGUAUUCCGGAGAGCAUGCUUGUUUGAGUAUCAGUAAACACCUCAACUUCCAUAUCUUUUUUGAAAUGGGAGUUGGACUUGAGUGAUCCCAACGCUUUUCCUCACCGAAAAGUGGCGGGUUACUUGAAAUGCAGGUGCAGCUGGACUUUUCUCUUAGCUAUAAGCAUAUCUAUUUAGUCUGCCUAAAAAACAGAUUAUUACCUUUGCUGCAGCUAACAUAAAGGAGAUUAGUUCUUGUGCUGACUGAUGCAGGAUUCACAAAGACGGCUUCGGCCGACUUUGUAAACUCGAUCUCAAAUCAAGUAAGACUACCCGCUGAACUUAAGCAUAUCAAUAAGCGGAGGA